UUUGGAGAAGGUGCUUCGGGUGCGUCCGCGGUCCAAGUCCCUUGGAACAGGGGAUCCCAGAGGGUGAGAAUCCCGUAUACGGCUGAUGGAAAAGCCCGUGUGAAGCUCUUUCGACGAGUCGAGUUGUUUGGGAAUGCAGCUCUAAAUGGGUGGUAAAUUUCAUCUAAAGCUAAAUAUUCGCUAAAGACCGAUAGCGCACAAGUAGAGUGAUCGAAAGAUGAAAAGCACUUUGAAAAGAGAGUUAAAAAGUACGUGAAAUUGUUAAAAGGGAAGCGCUUGCAACCAGACUCGCUCGCGGGUGUUCAGCCGUCCCUUGGGGCGAUUCACUCUCCCGCGAUCGGGCCAGCAUCGGUUUAGGCGGUUGGAUAAAGGCUUCGGGAAUGUAGCUCUUCGGAGUGUUAAGCCCGGGGUGCAAUGCGAUCAGCCGAGACCGAGGACCGCGCAUUCGUUAGGAUGCUGGCGUAAUGGUUGUCAGCGACCCGUCUUGAAACACGGA
rnacentral:rRNA from 1 species